UAGAUAUAGAAUUCCACAGAAAACCCUCUGAAAUGCUGUUCUGUGCUAAACAAGAACUCCACUGCAUAUAACCUAAGUUACUUUGUAACCUUCUUGCCUAUUCAAGCACAGACAGUCAAGAUCACAAUGAAAACAGCUGACUCCAUAUGAAAAUGGUUACAAAAAAAAUCAUGUCAAGUGCAAAUAUAUCUGAGCAGACAAGAAGAUGAGCUAUUCUAAUAAAAGAGAUAACUCAUCCUUGUUAUGUGAAGUCAAGAGCCUCAACUUCAAAAGGCAACAUUUUAGGAAGAUAAAGUGAAUCCUUCUCAUUCUAAUUUUGUUGUUUCAUACUUUAUAAAACACAAAAGCAAUGAAU
rnacentral:lncRNA from 1 species